AACGAACGCUGGCGGCAGGCCUAACACAUGCAAGUCGAGCGAGGACUUCGGUCCUAGCGGCGGACGGGUGAGUAACGCGUGGGAACGUGCCCUUUGCUUCGGAAUAGCCCUGGGAAACUGGGAGUAAUACCGGAUGAGCCCUUUGGGGGAAAGAUUUAUCGGCGAAGGAUCGGCCCGCGUUGGAUUAGGUAGUUGGUGGGGUAAUGGCCUACCAAGCCGACGAUCCAUAGCUGGUUUGAGAGGAUGAUCAGCCACACUGGGACUGAGACACGGCCCAGACUCCUCCGGGAGGCAGAGGGGGGAAUUGUAAGAAAAGGGGGAAGCCCUGGAUCUCUCCGUCCCGGGGGGGGAAUACGGCCCUUAGGGUUGAAAACCUCUUCCACCUGGAAAGAAAAGGCGGAUCCCGAAAAAAGAACCCCGGCCAACCUCCGUG
rnacentral:rRNA from 1 species